rnacentral:lncRNA from 10 species
UUUUUUUGAGACAGUCUCACUCUAUUGCCUAGGUUGGAGUGCAGUGGUGUGAUCUCGGCUCACUGUGACCUCUGCCUCCUGGGUUUAAGCGAUUCUCCUGCCUCAGCCUCCCGAGUAACUGGGACUACAGCUGCAGGAAACAGAAAAUGCACUGCCUAGAUGGACCCUCUGACUCCCCACCACCCAGGCUGGAGCGGCAGAGGCUGCCAGGAAGAGCCAGAAAACAGGUGAACCCAAGGCCACUCCCUCCCCAGCCUGAGGAUUUGAUGAUGAGACAUCGUCUGCUACAGGAUUUGCAGGGAAACAUGGAGUAUCACUUUGGGCCUAUUUUCUAAGAGAAUGGCCUGAAGAGAAUAGAUUCAAGUUUUCUCCCAGAAAAGCCUCUGCUUCAGGAGCAGGAACACUCUACUGGUAAGGGGAGAAAUGCCUCAAAUGAGCAUGUGCACAACUUCAGUAAACAUGCUGUGCAUGUGGCCCCUCCCAAGUGCCCGCAGGCCACCACACAAGUGGACAGCCCUGGACAGCCCGCCCCUAGGGAAGAAUCAAGGGAGGAGAAACAGAAGCCCUGGAACUGUGCUAGCAUAUAAAACCCCAAGUCAAGGGCUGAAUGGCACACUUGGAUCUCUCAAGUCACCUGCUUGGCCCCCUUCCAAGUGUAUUUACUUCCAUUUGUUCCUGCUCUAAAACUUUUUAAUAAACUUUCACUCCUGCUCUAAAACUUGCCUCGGUCUCUCCCUCUGCCUUAAAACUACUUCUGCCCCCGCAGCCGAAUUCUU